UACAAUAUAUGGAAACUCUCACUAACCUGUCUGCAAUAUAUGCAUGGCGUGACAAUUUUCAAAUUGCAUCAAUUGGGACCACUUUAAUAUAUUUCUUUAAUUGUCUUUUUUAUUAUUUAUUUACUUAUUUAUUAUAUGAUCAACAAUACUUUUUUUCAUUCACCUAUUCUCUCUAUCUUGUGCCCAAUAAAAAUUAUAAUUCCCCUUUAAUUCCACCAUUUCAAACCUCUAUUUAUACCCAUUAAUUCACCCUCUAGCUCUUCACUCUAGCUUUAACAAAAGAUUGAGAGAGAACAAGAAGCUAGGUCAAUAUAUAUAUCUCUCUCUAGAUCUUCAAUAGACUACCCAAUUUUAGGAGUGCCUAUUUUCUUUUCGUGCACCCCCAUCUGUUGAAGCUGCCAGCGUGAUCUUAACUUCCCUCCUUUGUUGAGGAAUGAUCAGAUCAUGUGGUAGCUUCACCUGUUGCUGGUGGCACGGCAAAACCCUAAUUUCACAUCAACCCUAAUUUUCAUAUGCUUACACACACACACACACACACACACCCACACCCAUACAACCCAUCUAGGGUUUUCCUUCAAAAUCCUACAUCAGGUGGUUGAGAAGCCUAGUAGCUGAUUGGAGUCUUCGAUUAGGCCUCAUCAUACUCGUGGAAUUUAGAUGCCUGGAUUAUAUUCAAUGUUGCUGGUUUUGGCUGUCUUGGCCACAGUUGUAGAUCAUAUAACUUUAAGUUUGAUGUUAUUGUUUUGAUCAUCUUGUCUUGUUAGCUUGUAUUUAUAUUUUUUCCUUUUUAAUAAUUUUUCGUGAACUGAAAAUAUAGAUGUGUUCUUUGGAA